rnacentral:rRNA from 1 species
UGGGGAAUAUUGCGCAAUGGCCGAAAGGCUGACGCAGCGACGCCGCGUGUGGGAUGAAGGCCUUCGGGUCGUAAACCACUGUCGGGGGGGGCGAAUACUUGGGCCUCGAAUAGGGGACCCGAGGGUGACGGUACCCCCAAAGGAAGCACCGGCUAACUCCGUGCCAGCAGCCGCGGUAAUACGGAGGGUGCGAGCGUUGUCCGGAAUCACUGGGCGUAAAGGGCGCGUAGGCGGUUCGGUAAGUCACUUGUGAAAUCCCGGUGCUCAACGCCGGGGCUGCAGGUGAGACUGCCAGACUGGAGCUCGGUAGAGGCGAAUGGAAUUCCCGGUGUAGCGGUGGAAUGCGUAGAUAUCGGGAAGAACACCGGUGGCGAAGGCGGUUCGCUGGGCCGAUGCUGACGCUGAGGCGCGAAAGCGUGGGGAGCAAACAGGAUUAGAUACCCCCGUAGUCC